CAGUCGCCGCGGUAAGACAGAGGAUGCAAGCGUUAUCCGGAAUGAUUGGGCGUAAAGCGUCUGUAGGUGGCUUUUCAAGUCCGCCGUCAAAUCCCAGGGCUCAACCCUGGACAGGCGGUGGAAACUACCAAGCUGGAGUACGGUAGGGGCAGAGGGAAUUUCCGGUGGAGCGGUAAAAUGCGUUGAGAUCGGAAAGAACACCAACGGCGAAGGCACUCUGCUGGGCCGACACUGACACUGAGAGACGAAAGCUAGGGGAGCAAAUGGGAUUAGAUACCCCUGUAGUCCCUGUCUCUUAUAC
rnacentral:rRNA from 1 species